rnacentral:rRNA from 1 species
AAACCAACAGGGAUUGCCUCAGUAACGGCGAGUGAAGCGGCAAAAGCUCAAAUUUGAAACCUUCGGGAUUGUAAUUUGAAGAUUUGGCAUUGGAGAAAGCUAACCCAAGUUACUUGGAAUAGUACGUCAUAGAGGGUGACAACCCCGUCUGGCUAACCGUUCUCCAUGUAUUGCCUUAUCAAAGAGUCGAGUUGUUUGGGAAUGCAGCUCAAAGUGGGUGGUAAACUCCAUCUAAAGCUAAAUACUGGUGAGAGACCGAUAGCGAACAAGUACUGUGAAGGAAAGGUGAAAAGAACUUUGAAAAGAGAGUGAAAUAGUAUGUGAAAUUGUUGAUAGGGAAGGAAAUGAGUGGAGAGUGGUUUAGGUUUCAGCCCUUCUUUGGAAGGGUGUACUGCCGACGCCGAGUCAUUGUCAGCGAGAUGGGGGAUAUAAACGGUUUCCUUUUAAGGUUUCCACCUACCCCCCUUACUGCCGUCAACGACAUAAUCCACCCAUUUCAC